rnacentral:lncRNA from 1 species
GAUCGCGCAUGAAGAGGUCCGUCUUCGACGAGCAGACAGCCAAGGCUAUCAAGAAGUGGCAUCAGGUGGCGAAGAACAGGCGCGGGGGCGGCAAGUCCUCGACUCACUCCCCAUUCCGGACUCCCACAGAGAGCCGCAGCGGGAGCCCUAGCGCCUCCCCAGCGCGGCCGUUGCAGAGGUUCAUGACCACCGGCCACGCGACGGCGAUGACGACCCUUCCUCGGCGGUACUACUCCGACAACGAGCUCUCGGACAAUGAACACGAGGCCCCGCUCUUCUCACCCCACCACAAGGACUCCGCCACGCCGGCGGAGCAGCGCCUGGAGGUGACCGAAGACCAGCGAAACCCCGCCGAUGACUUCUCCUUCGCAAAGGCCGCCGCCGGCGGCUCCUCCGGCCGCCCCCCGCCGGUCUGAUCCCCUCUGCGCCUCUCCGAUCCCCCUCACCUGGGGAUGCCGUACCAUUCUGUCUACAUUCCCUUUCUGCAGAUUCUUUUUUUUCAAGCUUCCAACUGCUCCAUCUCGCGCUCCUCUACGUGGACCCUAUUUAUAUAGGAGGCCUUUUUGCCUGACGUGGAACUCGCCACGUCGGAUGAGAAAAAUGUGUGGGC